UGGAGAGUUUGAUCCUGGCUCAGAUUGAACGCUGGCGGCAUGCCUUACACAUGCAAGUCGAACGGCAGCAUGAUCUAGCUUGCUAGAUUGAUGGCGAGUGGCGAACGGGUGAGUAAUACAUCGGAACGUGCCCUGUAGUGGGGGAUAACUAGUCGAAAGAUUAGCUAAUACCGCAUACGACCUGAGGGUGAAAGUGGGGGACCGCAAGGCCUCAUGCUAUAGGAGCGGCCGAUGUCUGAUUAGCUAGUUGGUGGGGUAAAGGCCCACCAAGGCGACGAUCAGUAGCUGGUCUGAGAGGACGAUCAGCCACACUGGGACUGAGACACGGCCCAGACUCCUACGGGAGGCAGCAGUGGGGAAUUUUGGACAAUGGGCGAAAGCCUGAUCCAGCAAUGCCGCG
rnacentral:rRNA from 1 species